UACCAGCACCCCGAGUGGUCGGGACGAUUAUUGGGCCUAAAGCAUCCGUAGCCGGUUCUGCAAGUCCCCCGUUAAAUCCACCUGCUUAACAGAUGGGCUGCGGAAGAUACUAUAGAGCUAGGAGGCGGGAGAGGCAAGCGGUACUCGAUGGGUAGGGGUAAAAUCCGUUGAUCCAUUGAAGACCACCAGUGGCGAAGGCGGCUGCCAGCAACGCGCUCGACGGUGAGGGAUGAAAGCUGGGGGAGCAAACCGGG
rnacentral:rRNA from 1 species